AUAGGUACAAGGAUAAGCUGGACACAAAAAAAAAAAAAAAAAAAAAUUACAACACACAUGCAUAUAUACAUAUAUAUAUAUAUAUAUAUGUGUGUGUACACGUGAGCAAACUGUUUUAAACACAAGUUUAUGUAACAAUCUGCUUACCUUUUGCAGACACACUGUUGAUAUAAUACUAAAAGUUGUCAUGCCAUAUUUCCAAGUUAUAGAUAUAAACGAUUUUAAAACACCCACAUCUAUUACUGGAACAUGACAUCUAUAGAUAAAAUUAACGCGUAUGUUUUUAUUGCAUAUUACAUAUUAUAUAUUAAAUAUUAUAUAUUAUAUAUUACAUAUUAUAUAUUAUAUAUUACAUAUUAUAUAUUAUAAUAAAAUUACUCAGUUUAUUUGUUCAUGUUUAUUCAUCCGUUUAUUCUUCCGUUUAUUCAUCUAUUUAUUUAUUAAAUUAACAAUUUAUUUUUAUAUUACUAAUUAUAUAUAACCUUCAGCUGUUUAAAAGAUCACCUUUCAAAAACAGAGCUAGACUACAAAAAAGAGCAAAGUGUAGAGAAUUUACAAAACUUAUUUAAUCGAUUUAAUUAUAUAGAAUUUAACAUUGGAAAUAAUAUAUUAAAUGAACAAACAUAUGUUAAUUUACUUUUGUAUAACCCAUUAGAUAUAUCAUUAAACAUACAAAUAAAUACUAUCAAGUAUUACAUUUUCCCUAUUUUACCACCAUAUAUCAAAAAUGAAGAAGAAAAGAUGGCCCAGUUUUUAUACGUAGACAAUACAUUCCGUCAUUAUAUGAGGUGUUUAGAUAGUUUUGAUAUUUAUCCUAAAAAAUUCGAAAUAAAAAAAAGACAGCCAAAACAAUCACUUUAAUAUAUAAGCAUAAAUAUGUUGGCUUUCAUAAUAUGCCAUUAAUAGUUGAAGUAGAAAAUGGGAAAAUAGUUCCUUUGAAUGUUUGCUCCUUAACGCUUUAUCCCAACAUGCCUCCCAUUAAUUGGAUGAAUACUAAGAAUUUUAAUCAACAUAUUUUGACUUUAAAAAACGAGUGUAUCAUAAAUGUAGAUCUGCUAAAUGAUAGUGAAUUAGACAUAUUUUAUGAAAUGCAACAUAACGAAAAUUUUACUAUUUUAAACCCUAAAGGAAUAAUUAAAAGAAGGAAGUAUAUUUCUCUUUUUAUUUUAAUUUCUAGAUUGUCACCAUCAAUAAUGAAAGAAAACUUAAUAUUAAAUUCUUAUUUUAAACAUUUGCAAAAAGAUAUAGUAAUAUAUAUAUAUAUAUAUAUAUAUACAUUAUACUUAUGUUUACAUACAUGCAUAAUAUUACAUUAAUUUAUAUAUUUUUUUUUAUCCAUACCAAUGUGUAUAUAUAUAAGUACAUAUACUUAUACAUAUUAACCAUAAUAUAAUUAUUAUUAUUUUUUUUUUUUUUUUUUUUUAUAGAUGCUUAAUAAAAUACAACUAGAAGUAAAUAUCA
rnacentral:lncRNA from 1 species